rnacentral:rRNA from 1 species
UACAGAGGUGCCGAGCGUUAGGCGGAAUCACUGGGCUUAAAGCGUGUGUAGGCAGAUGCCUAAGUACCUUGUGAAAUCCCACGGCUUAACCGUGGAACUGCUCGGUAUACUGGGUGUCUUGAGCCACUUAGGGGUUACCGGAACAAAUGGUGGAGCGGUGAAAUGCGUAGAUAUCAUUUGGAACGCCAAUGGUGAAAACAGGUAACUGGGAGUGUGCUGACGCUGAGACACGAAAGCCAGGGGAGCGAACGGG